GGUCAGAGCUGAUCUAUAGGUUCCCUCCAACUCUUUUUUCCUUGUGUUUUCCAUUUUCUUUUAAAAAUGUUCAUUAUUAUUAUUUGGUGGAACAAAGUCCUUGUUUGGAUUUUUUUUUUUUCUUUUUGGUCUCCCAGAGUCUCAAUUUUACUGAUUGUACUCCUGUGGUGUACCUUAACAUGGUGUCUCUUCUAUUUCCUGUAAAUUUGUAGUUAAGCCUAGAGACUUGACCUAAUUCAAAUUAAAUGUUAUAUAUACAUACUUUCCCCAAGAACACUUUAUAGGUGCUAGUGUGUACUUCUAUUAGGAGGGAUAUGCAAUAUCAGAGUUUUCUCUUUCUAAUAUUACUAGCUAUUGACGCAUUGUCUAGCCGUAGAUCCAUGAAUUUGCUAAGGUUUACAGAACAGUGAUAUUUUAAUGCUCUGUGUUUAUCAGCCAGAAUUCUAUAAAGAGGAACUUCCCUUUGUUAACUUUUUGGUUGCCCUUAAUUACAGAUUGUAUAAGAAAGGUAGGAUGAUUGCCUAAUUCUUUUAUUUUACAGUUUUCAAAGUAAUAAUUUGUGUUUUAAACUUUCCAAAGAUGACCAGUGUACUAUUUUUAGGUAAUUUAAUAAAUUAAUAUGUUUAAACUUGUUUAGUAUGUUUUGGUCCAGUGCAGUUUUUAUCCUUAGUAAUGAUCAGAUAAUCAACUUUGAUUCAAUAGGAGCAUCUUCAGGUAUUUCCUCAUUCCUUUUGAUAUGACCCUCCUAGUCUUUGAUAGCUUCUUUUUUCUGUCUGAUAUGAUAGAGCUUUCCAGACUCAUCUAACAUAUCUCUAACCUAGUACUUAGAAUCAGCUGUUUUUCCAAAGAAUCUUAAUUCUUUUAAUAAUAAAGAGUCUUAAUUCCUUUAGAAGCCACCUAUCAGCACUUCUUUCAAAGUAGCAUUGCUACUGAGUUAUUUCUUGUUUUAGACUUUCUUUUUCAAUGGGAAGUAAUAGGUACAUACACACCCACAUAUGCAUGCAUAUAUGCACACUUAAAUUUUAAGAUAAACCACCUCGUUCUUUAAAGCUUAAUUUCGUAGUAUACUUUGGACUUGAAAGUGUCCACUCUAGCUGAAAAGGUGAACCGUGUUGAUUUUUAGGAUUGAAUAACACUCUUAGGCAUGGUGACCACAAGUGCAGCUUUUUGGAAAUAUAGGGAUUCUACCUUUAUUGAUUAAAUUUUCAUUUCCUUUAUUGAAGGUUGAGAGGUGAAACAUAGUUUAUCGAUUCUGAGUCUGAGAGCCAAUUUUUAGUUCCUGAUGAGAAAUUGAUCAGCUAUGUUCUUGUUACAAAAGGUAACAGUGAGAUUGGCAAAGGAAAUUGAAUUUAUAUUGGUGUGUUAUCCCAUGCAAUUAAUUUUGCAUUUACACUUGAGGCACAUGAAUCUUAUUCGAGGUUGAAAUAUCUAUACUUUGAAUCAGGACAUUGCAAAUCUAGUGUGAUUAAAUAUAUUAAGAGUUUCUGUUGUUCUACAAUUGCUGUGCAAUUCUAAAAUAUGUUCUUAUUAGGCUAUUCACAAAGAAAUCUUUUGGUCAUUAUAAUGAGAAAAUUGAAAUAGCUAAAUUUGUACAUUCUUUUUACAAAGGAUGGAACAGAAUAAGGUAAUUUAUAUUGUAAGAUUUAUUAUUUUUACACUCAUUUUUUCUGUAUGAGAUCUCUGUCAUCUGAGUUAUGGAAAUAACAUAGUAUAUUAGAUAGACAUUCUCAGGAGCAGUUUAGCUAAAGUAUCCACAAAAGAAUCUUCAUAAAUGAAGUAGUAAGAGAAUGAUUAAUGGAGAAAAUAAGAUCUGAAUUGGGUCUUGAAAUAGUUUUAAUAGGAACAUAGUGUCAUUUUAUUGCAGUUUUAAUUUGCACUAAUAUUGACCACUUUCCUUUUGCUCAUUUGCCAUUUGUAUGUCUUCUUUGGUGAAAUGUCUGUUCAAAUCUUUUGCACAUUUUUUAAAUUAAGGUUGUUAUUCUUGAGUUUUGAGAAUUCUUUUUAUAAUCUGGAGAUUUUCUCCCUUGUCUUUUCAUGCUCUUAAAAAUGGCUUCUCCAGGGUGGAAGUUUUAAACUUUUGAUGUAAUCUACUAUAUCAACUUACUCUUUUAUGGAUCAUGUUUUUGGUGAAAUCUAAGAAUUCUCUGUUUAAUUCAAGUUGCUAUGGACUGAAUGUUUGUAUUCCUCCCAAUUGAUAUGUUUAACCCUAGUUCUUAAUGUGCUGGCAUUUGAAGAUGAGGCCUUUGGGAAGUAAUAGGUCAUGAAAAUAGAGCCCUUAUGAAUGAGAGAUUAUUGCCUUUAUAAGAGACAUGAGAGAGCUUGUAUCCUUUUGCUACUCCCUGCUGUGUGAAGAUGCAACAAGAAGGCAGCCUACUGCAAGCCAGAAAAGGUCUCACCAGAACCUGACCUUGUGUCCAUGUUGGCACCGAGAUCUCAGACUUCCCAACUUCUAGAACUGUGAGAAAUAAAUUUCUGCUGUUUAAGCCAUCCAGUAUCAUGUAUGUAACAAAAUUUAUAUUUUGCAUACAGAUGUCAGCUAGGGCCAGCCUCAUUUCUUGUUUAAUGAACUUUGGUAGUUGAUGUCUUUUAAGGAAGUAGUACAUUUAAUCUAAAUUGUUGAAUUUAUUGACAUAAAGUUGCUCAAAUGCCUUUGUAUUGCUUUGGCAUCAGGGUAAUGUUGGUAUCAUAGAAUGAGUUGGGAAAAAUUCUUUCCUCUUUAAUUUUCUGGAAGAGUUUGAGUUGGGAUCAUUCUUUUUAAAUAUUCAGUAGAAUUCAGCAGUGAAGACAUUUGGGCUUGAAGUUUUGUCUGUGGAAAGGUUUAAAUAAGGGUAUGUAGAUUAUUCAUUUCUUCUUGAGUGAUUCUGUUGAAGGAACCAUUGAGCGAGGGCCAGCACUAAAGUUGAUCUACCUUAUCCCAUACUUUCCAAACUGAUUUUUUGACAGUGAAUAUAGGAUUUGAGAUUUUUCCUAGUUAGCCUGCAUCUUGAUAUGUUUAGGCCACCAUCUAGUCUUUUGGAUUCAGUUUGGUACUUCAGAAUAUUCUCUCCAAUUCACGAAGUAGUAGAACAUACUGUUAUCAACAUUCUCAAUAGACACUGAUUAAAUAAAAUGCUGAUUAGAAGGGCUGAUCAACAGAAAAGGAUCACACUGGAAAUAAAGCUUCCAUUUUAAAAAACUUGAAAAAGAAAAGCAAAUUUAACUCAAAGUAAGCAAAAAAAGGAAAUUAUUAGGUCAAAGAGGAAAUCAAUGAAA
ensembl:lncRNA